rnacentral:lncRNA from 1 species
UUAUGUAAAGAGAAUACUUAUAUUCUUUCAGCUUAUAUAUAUAAUUGCUAUUACUUGUUGGGCACUCAAAUGCUCAUCCUUGCUUAAAUUAAAUGUUUUCAGUUAUGUAUGAGCAACCUGAAGGCUCAGGCACGAACAAAGGAAAAGGAAAGCUGAUCGAAUAAGUGUGUAUUAUGAGUUAAUGGUUAUAGCUGUAUGGAUAUCUAUUCAAGUAUUGUAAGGGAUGUAAUUGAAGGUCUCGUACCUGGGAAGUAAACUUUGAUGUAUGUAAAUUAAGUUCGAAUGUAAUAUUACUAUUGUAUUAUUCAGCUUAUAGAAAUGGUAUCGUGAAGCACUGAGUUCGGGUUUCAAGUAUCCGGAUUUGGGGGCGUCACAUUAUCUGUCGCUAAAAAUGGCUUUAGUGACAAAACUGUCGCUAAUUGUGUUCUUCAGCAAACCCAGAUCUUCAAUGUCAGUACACAAGGUACCUACUUUGACCGGUUAUAAAUCUUUUGUUAUCAGGAUUCUGGGCUUGCUAAUGUGUUGGUAUUGUAGUAUAACUGUAAUAUUACCACUAACAGUCGAUAUCAUGAACAUAACACAAACGAUCAGAGAGUU